AGUCACCUCUCUCUUCCCUCACUGGAAGGUGAGGCCCAGGGGGUCCGGCCUGUGGGAUGUGAAGAAGCCACACAUUGGUGCCCAUCACCUGGUCCUCAGCCUCUCCUUAGGGCAGAGUCGAGGCCCAGAAGGUUGAAAGAGCUGGAAGCUGGGGACAGAGCCUGCACCAGUGCCUUUGCCUCUUAUCAGCUGGAGUGCAGUGGCGUGAUCUCAGCUUACUACAACCUCCGCCUCCCAGGUUCAAGCAAUUCUCCUGCCUCAGCGUCUUGAGUAGCUGGGAUUACAGACCUGGUGAGCAGGAAGUACAGGAUCGUUUUGAAUUCAGCAGAUUUUGAAUAAUGCCAGAUCAGGAGUGGAUCUCUGGGUCCUUGGAGGGACUCUCUGGAAUUUCCUUAUCUGACCUAGAAAGUGUCUUGCCAAAAGAAACACAUUUGCCUUCUGUCCGUCUGUUACCCCAUUAUCCACUGCAGAAAAGAAGCCGGAAGAAAAGAAGUCAGAAGUCCAACCACAGCUGGAUGGACUUUUCCACAAGAUGUCUGCCUCUCAGACUCAUUCCAUUCACAAGUUAAUUUCUGUCUCCCUGAUCCAUUCAUUCUCCUUAAUAAUCAUUUACUGCUCCUCAAAACAAUGCUCUAUGUUUCCCAUCUCCUUGCUCCCCUGGGAAAAAGAGUACAUAAGCUUCUGUACCCCAUUGGGGGAUUGGGGUAAUCACACUGUAAUUCUCUCCCAUGAAUGUUAAUAAAUGUGUAUGCUUUUUCUCCUACUAA